ACCUAAAGGGUGGGAAGCAUUCACUUCGUUUCACACCGUGCAUCUAGAUCAAGAUCGCUUCGAGGAAGCUCGAGCUUUUAACCCGUAGAGAUGGCAGAGCAAUUCUCGCUCGCCAACCCCUGGAAACAACUUUACGCCAUUCGAAGGACGGCCUUGACUCUGUCCCGCAUGGGAGCUAGCUAGAGUAGAGACAUCCGUAUUCCUUCACCAACUAGUUACUCGCUUCAGUUGGGUGCCAGCGGAAGGGAAGAAUAAGUUAUUUUCUUCCCGACGACGUGAUUGCAGAAGCCGUACCCCAUCUAUGUUCGUCGAUGCGACGCGUUCGGGCAAUGUACAUAGGGG